UACGAAGGGGGCUAGCGUUGCUCGGAAUCACUGGGCGUAAAGCGCACGUAGGCGGCUUUUUAAGUCAGGGGUGAAAUCCUGGAGCUCAACUCCAGAACUGCCUUUGAUACUGAGAAGCUCGAGUCCGGGAGAGGUCGAGUGGAACUGCGAGUGUAGAGGUGAAAUUCGUAGAUAUUCGCAAGAACACCAGUGGCGAAGGCGGCUCACUGGCCCGGUACUGACGCUGAGGUGCGAAAGCGUGG
rnacentral:rRNA from 1 species